rnacentral:rRNA from 2 species
GACAGAGGGUGCGAACGUUGCUCGGAAUUACUGGGCGUAAAGCGCGUGUAGGCGGAUGCGCAAGUCCGUUGUGAAAUCCCUGGGCUCAACCCAGGAACUGCAUCGGAAACUGCGUGUCUUGAGUAAUGGAGAGGGAAGUGGAAUUCCCGGUGUAGAGGUGAAAUUCGUAGAUAUCGGGAGGAACACCAGUGGCGAAGGCGGCUUCCUGGACAUUUACUGACGCUGAGACGCGAAAGCGUGGGGAGCAAACAGG